CAUGAGAUAUGGUUUGGACACAGAUCCAAACCAUAUCAAUAGUAACACAAAACAGACUAAUAUAAAAAUAAAUUCCUCCAGAAAAGGAAAGAUAACUGGACCAUCAGCUAAGUGUGAUGCCAAGAGGUUUGCCAGCUCUGUGUUAGGUCUGAGUAAAUAUAUUAUUGAAAGUUUCCCAGAAAAUUAGUAAACCUGGAAAUGUAUUUUACAUCAUAUGGGGGUGGGGGUAUUAUAUUUACACUAUUUGCAUAAUCCAGGAAUCUAAAAUGUAGGAAUUAUAAUGUUGGCCUUCCCCAAUGGUGCCCAUGUGGGAACUAGAUGAAGACAAGGAGCAAUUGCUCUAUGUAAACAAUACCUGAACUCAGUGUGCACAGUAGUCUCACCCAGAGAUGGUGAGCUUACAAUCUCAAAUUAAAAGUACAUGAGAAAUAAACAUACUCCAGAUAAAAGCCAUUGGAAACAACAAACAGCCAUAAUAAAUGAGGAAAAAUGUUUUUUUGAUGGAUAAUUUGAGACUUAAAAAAAAAUGUGCUAAAAAUCAUUGCGACAGGGGAAUGGUGCUAAUCAAGUGGCAGAUAGAAAGCUCCUGACCUCAUUUCCUCACACAGACAACAAAUUAACAGUGUACACUUCAAAAAGCCUUUGUGAGAACUCUAGGAAUCAGGUAGGGAGUCACAGUACCCCAAGCAAGCUCAAGGCCAAGAACAGCCAUGUUGAAGUUUAAAAAAAAAAAAAAAAAAAAAAAAAAAUUUUUUUUUUUAAAUUAUAUCAGCCCCUCCUCCAUGCUGACACAGUUUGCUGCAGUAAGGAGGAAAAGCCUAACUCAUAUCUUCUCCCAGGGAGGAGAAACAAAAAGCGAAACAUGCCUAAUGUUCCAGCUUUAUGGUGGGCUGCCUCGGGGAUGGGCUUCUGGUUUGCCUGAUUUAGAGUGUCUAUAGGUAACUCACACACUUUGGAUGUCUGGGGACUGCUGAGGACAAAAGAAAGUUAAGCAACUAAUUGCAGGGCUAGAGAAACUCUAAUACCACAGACAGAAGCUGUUAAUACUCACCAUGAUUAGGAGUGAGUGCCCAGCAUGUGGUUUAUCCUUUGGGAGGAAAAGAGAAGAGUAAAUUACACAUCCACUCCUUUUACUUUUUGGAGGGCUUCCUGAGUUUCCCUCAACUGACUCAGAGUACUGUUUGAAACAGCAUCUUUUCUAUGCAUGGAAGCUACAGAGAACAAUAUAGAGCCCAGCAUUUUGUGGCAGCUCCAGAAAGCCUGUGGUAACACAGACAGACACCAGAGGAGGGAAGAAAUUAUAAACUUCUGAAAGAGAAAUUAACAAAUGUCUCAUAUUGUGACACAAUAUAGUCACAAGAGCAGAGAAGUAUUCCCAUAAAAGGUUUGAAAGGACCAUAGAAUGCCUAGCCAGGGUGACUGAUUGGGGAAGGCCUUCCAUUAUGAGAAGCUACUACUGUAAAGACUGGAAGAGGCGGCUGUUUUUUCAACUGGACAAAUCACAACAACUGCAGAAGUAACAAGGCACACAAGAAAGAAGGAAGCAUGGCUUAUCUUUCAACAGAAAGACCCCAAGACCAUACUGGAAAGAAAUCAUAAUAAAAAUCACAAUACCACUCUCACCACUUUUAUUCAAUGUAUUACUGGAAGUCUUAUUUGGAGCAAUAAGGUAAAAAAAAAAUUAGGAAAUUU